GGGCCCCCAUGAUGUUCAGCACUGGGCUCCGAUCACCCAUGAUGACACGGUGCCGCCCUGGGACCUUUGAUACCCAGGGAUCUGAGGGUCCC